CAUGAUGUACCAAAUGUACGGCACCAAUCAAGCCUUUGUAAAACAGAGGGUGAUGUUGGCGCUGAAGAACUCCCGCGAGUUCUCCCGGGUCUUCGGCUGCCAAGAGGGCAGCCCCAUGAACCCGCAACAGAAGUGCAUCGCCUGGGGCGGCUAGCCGUCGUCGACGGGCGAGUUCAAGAGAGCUGCUGACCGGAGGCCCCGUCGGGUGCCCCUGUGGCUUUGACACAACCCACUGCGCCCCCGGAAGCGCGGAGCGACAGCAUUUCGCAAGGGAGCCGCGAACGCCCGCCUCUCUACAAGAUGACAGCCCUUGCCUCGGCGACGUGCACGACCCCUGGCCCCUGACGCAGGAAACUCACUGUGUGCGUUUACCUGUGACGUCAAUAAAAAAACAUCGUGAGCCAUUUGUCAUCAUCAUAA
rnacentral:lncRNA from 1 species